GCCAAAGUUUGUGCACGACUUAUUGGUCUUUCGGUCCACCGUUCACCUUUAGUUCUCAUUCCCGCUCUUCGCACCAUUGGAAAUAUUGUAACUGGAAAUGAUAGUCAAACUCAGCAUAUCAUUGAUCUUCAAGCGCUCCC